GCCUGGGUGGCUCAGUCGGUUAAGCAUCCGACUUCAACUCAGGUCAUGAUCUUGUGGUUUGUGGGUUCGAGCCCCACGUUGGGCA
rnacentral:tRNA from 1 species